rnacentral:lncRNA from 1 species
CAGGAUCAGAAGACAGUGCAGAUAUUCUGAAGAAGGCACUGGGGGAGGUAAGGGGGUAUCACAGCAGGCAGACAGCUCUGGGCAGAGGAGGUGACUCUGUGAAAGAUGCUAUCUUAAGAUGGGGAGACUAGGCUGUGAGGAGCCCCUUCCCCUCUCCUCCUCCCUCUGCCCCCAGAGCUGGCGUCAUUCCAGGGAGGGUCAAGAUGUCCAUUCACAUCAAGCUGGGCUUUUCUUAUCUCCAUCGCUCAUGUCUUGUCCUUCACUUUCAUAGUCCUCCAAGAACAAAACCCGGAAUAGACACUCCCAGCCUCUAGCUCACAAAGGCCCCACUAUUAAUUUCAUCCUCACGGUCUCUCUGGCAGUGUAGACAUCAUGCUAUCUGCACACUUGCUCCAGUCCCUAUUCCCAGAUCCCCAAUCCAGCAGAAGCCAAGAGGUCCAAUCCUGAGGGUAGGGAGAGAAAAAACCCACCCCGUGCCUUUUGGCCCAUGGCAAGCAGGAGGCCUCCUUAGGAAGAGGGCCACUGACCCUGGAACAAGAAAGGACGAUGAGGGCAAUGCUCAUAAAUUUGAAGCCAGGCGGGGAGGCACCGGAAAGGGGCCAAGGGAGGCUCUCAACUAGCCUCUUACUUCCUUCAUGGAGCCCAAGAAGGAGCAGGAACCCAGCUCAGUAGGACGCCCCCAAGCCUUGGCGCCAGCUGCUUUGGGGAGGGAUCUCCCUACAGGAAGCCUGGUGCAAACAUUAACUUCGCUCCUAAAGCACGGACCAGCCGUUGGAGCCCCCAAAUCCAGUAGGGGGUGGACUCAUUUUUAUUCUACAUUUUUCAUUGCCUCAGUGUGUCCCUGCCCCCCACCACCCCCUGCCAAGGGUAAUGUGUGAACAGCAGAGUUGCAGUGGAUUGGGGGGUGGGAGGAGGUUUGUCCAAAUGACCCAGGCACACUGCUGUUCAUGCCAGGCUCAUCCAUAUAGACAUAUAAGUACAACACACACAGACAAGAGGCAGGCAUCUCCAUCCCAAACAACAUGAUUCUUGGCACCAAGUAGCACCAGUGCCCAAGAAAGAAAUCAGUAUGAUGGGGUAAGAUGGGGAGAUGAGGAAACCCUUCAGCUCACAGUUAUGCAGGAAGUCAGAAACAGGAGGACUCGGGGAGCGAGCCAAGCAGUGUCUGGACUAAAUGCAGACACCCCUCCAUCCUCUCUCUCUAGUUGCCCUUCCCAACUCCCCACUCACAUAAUGAAACCAAGGAGUACAUCCAUUCAUCAGCCCUGCUGCCUUCCAAUUCUCAUAGAAAAUAGAGGAAGGAUGAAAGGGUCUGCGGACAAUUUGGAGAAAGCAUAUCUAGUCAGUGUCAUGGUGCCAUGGGGGAACUGCAGGAAUCACACUAGCCCCAAUGCCCAAAAUGACAGGGAAGUGAUCCAAUUUUAGGGCAAGCUCUGGAGCUCCCAGAUCUAAGGGCUGGAGCACUAAUUAUCUGCUGACACACAGCCCACCCCCGGCCCCAGCCCAUUCCCUGCCUCACACUCAGAAAACAGGAUAGAAAGCUUAAACAGGGUCAGUCUCUGCAAGCUUUGGGAUCCUUAACCCUUAGUAGCCCUUCAGAACAAGAAAGUAGACAGGGGAGAAGGAUGGAUGGAGGGAGGGGGACGAGCUGUAGGAGGGGAUUGGUGCCAGAAGGCAGGGAUAAGGAGCGGCAGCUGCAGAGAGUGGUGGGGGAAAAACUACAAGGAAAGAAGGGAGGAAAGACGAUUGCAGAUCUAAGAAAGCAGCAGAGGGAAACAAGCUUUUACUGCGUCCAGACUCAGGCUUCAACAUUUUAGGAUCAAUAUGACUUUCCCCCAUUUCAUACCAAUGGAGAAACUGAGGCUGAGUGAGAUUAAAUGGCUUGUGCAGGGUCAGGUCUGUAGAGCCCAGUCUCUUUCCCCUAAACCACAAACCUCUGAGAAAGAAUAAAGCAGUAGAGGAGGACAGGGCGGGGCAGAAUCAGGGGACAGUUAAAGGAUGUGCAUAGGACAAGGAGUAGCCACACUACCUGAUUUUCAGAAAGCAAGGGCAAAGGUCACCACCAGCACCACGAUGAUGC